CAGUAGCCGCGGGAAUACGUAGGUGGCAAGCGUUGUCCGGAAUUAUUGGGCGUAAAGGGCUCGCAGGCGGUUCCUUAAGUCUGAUGUGAAAGCCCCCGGCUCAACCGGGGAGGGUCAUUGGAAACUGGGAAACUUGAGUGCAGAAGAGGAGAGUGGAAUUCCACGUGUAGCGGUGAAAUGCGUAGAGAUGUGGAGGAACACCAGUGGCGAAGGCGACUCUCUGGUCUGUAACUGACGCUGAGGAGCGAAAGCGUGGGGAGCGAACAGGAUUAGAUACCCGCGUAGUCCCUGUCUCUUAUAC
rnacentral:rRNA from 1 species